rnacentral:lncRNA from 1 species
GUGGGCGUGAAAAGAUUUUGGGCAUGAAGACCUUCUUCACGUGAAGCAAAAUAGGCGCAAGAAAUCUUGACUCCAAGAGACCCUUUUAUAUCCAAUACUUGGAUGCUAUAUCAAACGCCAAAAGCCACGUCCAACUUUUGGACGUCAAAACCAAAACGUGCAUGGGUUUAGGAGGAAUCCUUCUUAUAAUAAAAUUCCUCCUUGGCGUUAAAUC